GCCUGCAUGGUGUAGUGGGUUUGAGCAAUGGACUAUGACUCUGGAGACAAGGGUUCAAAUCCCCGUUUGGCCA